UCAUACCCCCRCCAAAUGUACCUAAUCUUGUCUGAUCUCAGAAGUUAAGCAGGUUUGGCUUCSUUAGAAUCUGGAUGGGAGACUGCCUGGGAAUACUGGGUGGGGUAAGUU
ensembl:rRNA 5S_rRNA 5S ribosomal RNA